CCUACGGGCGGCAGCAGUGAGGAAUAUUGGUCAAUGGGCGCGAGCCUGAACCAGCCAAGUCGCGUGAGGGAAGACGGUUCUAUGGAUUGUAAACCUCUUUUGUCGGGGAGCAAAAGACGCCACGCGUGGCGUUCCGAGAGUACCCGAAGAAAAAGCAUCGGCUAACUCCGCGCCAGCAGCCGCGGUAAUACGGAGGAUGCGAGCGUUAUCCGGAUUGAUUGGGUUUAAAGGGUGCGAAGGCGGAAGAUCAAGUCAGCGGUAAAAUUGAGAGGCUCAACCUCUUCGAGCCGUUGAAACUGGUUUUCUUGAGUGAGCGAGAAGUAUGCGGAAUGCGUGGUGUAGCGGUGAAAUGCAUAGAUAUCACGCAGAACUCCGAUUGCGAAGGCAGCAUACCGGCGCUCAACUGACGCUCAUGCACGAAAGUGUGGGUAUCGAACAGGAUUAGAUACCCUGGUAGUC
rnacentral:rRNA from 1 species